rnacentral:misc_RNA from 1 species
UAUUUUCGGGCGUGUUAUAAAGGCGAUUCAAGACGAUUUCGGCUGACUUACGUGACAGCUAAUCAAGGAAAAAGGGCGUCUGAUUGCAAAUAAGCAAAAUUCUGCGUUAAAAAUAUAAAAUAAUGUGAACUUACAACUGUGGCCAUUCUGAAUUAGAACACUUGAGUGGUGAAUUCCUAACAAAUCUGAAGUUGGCGUACAAAAGAAGCCAAAAACAUUAGUCAAUAAGAAUAAUUGUGCUGAAAAGUGUUGAAAGUAGGUUGGAAUGUGUUUGGUUCUCUCAACUUAUCCAUUGCAGAUAGGAACGUCAGAUUUUGUAAUUCAAAUUAUAUUCUUAACAGUAGGAAUGUUAACCAGAAACAGCAACUUUUUUUUUCUUGUAUAGAUUUAUUGGAGGAGCCAAAUAAUGUAAAUGUGUGUUAAAUAAAAGUGUUUGCUAAAUUUUAAAGUUCUGUGGAACUAUUCUUUAAUUGAUUAUUUUAUGAAAUAAAGUAAACCUUAAUUAAAAAAUCCAGCAAUGAGUUGCUUAACUUUCCAGGCAAGAUUUAAAACUGCAUAAGUAGGCCAUCUAUUAUGAUAUUUUAUUAUAAAAACUUUUUAUAUUUUUAGUUAUUAUAAAAUGGAAAAAAGUUUAAUUUUGAGGGUAGGGAUGGGUUUUAUAGAAAAAUUGUAAAUGCUAGUAAUGGGGAAAAUCGUCAUUAAAUCCAGCUCUACUCAAGAUUUGACACACUAUCUUCUUUAUCUCCCCACCCCUCGACCUUUAACCACCAAAAUUUAAUAGCAUCAAUUCCCUAAUACACAAACCUCCCUGCAAAAUUUCAGAAAUUUUUGACUAAAAGCAAAAAGUUAUUAAGCUUCAAAGAGGGUGAACAAAAUCAUGCCCCACAUGCACACACGCACUCUAACAUCCAUAUAUACAGGGGGAAAAAAUUUUUUUGCAUUUCUCGCAUUUCCAGGUCCCGUGUCCAAAACUAAAUAUCUUAGGGGGUCGUUUUUUGUCCAGUCACCAUACUUUCCCUCUAUUAUAUAUAACAGAGCUGGGAAGGUAAAAACAAUAAUCAUACAUGCAAUAAUUAUAUAUAAAAGUAUUGUUCUUCCAGGUGUAGAGUAGAAUUUUUUGUAACAAACGAGUAUAACAAAAUUAUCAGUAUAUUGAAUAUGUUUUCAAGUUGCCACUUUACAAUGCAAAACUACUUGCGUAACGAGAAUAUCACUCUGAUAAAAAUUCAGUUAUUUACAAAAGAAAGUAAUCAUUAUAACAAAAUAUGUGAAUAUAAAAUUGUGUAUUGUUUUUUAACUCACUCCUGAGGGCACUAAAUAGUUUUUUACAUCAAACUCUACAACAAGACUACAAUAGGGACAGCCAUUUGGCAAGGAGACAAAGUACAGUACAAUCUUUCCAGUACAGAUUUCUUAUUAAAGGUUUCCGACUCAGUUUUGAACCUGGGUUCGAGUCUGGAUUGGCUCAUAAUUUUUCAGUGCUGGAUUCACCCCAUGUCUUACUGGCUAAGUAUCUCAUUGUAUUCUUGGCUUGUAAAGUGAACAUCAUCUAUGUAAUUCUGUGUUGGCUAGAUUGUUACUUUAUGCAAAGCUUACUAUAUAUUUGUGUGUUGUUUAUGUUUAAAAGAUAAUUUGAAAGGAGGUGUAAAUUAUAUGCUGUUUUUAAAUUACAAUUAAGAACACUACACUACAGACUAACAGCUGCUCGUACAGGCACAGGAUAGGAUAUAUGAUAGAACAGAUUAUUUGUAGGUUUUAUGCAUUCUAGCAACUUUCUGUCAGGUUAUUUUCCAAUGCAGGUUAUGCAGAUAAAAAUACAGUAAUAAGUGCUUUUGACUUUCAUUUUAAAGUAAAAGUAAUAGUUGACAAUCAUUACAGUUUAUUUUUUAACGGAUGAUGAUAUAACUCUAUUGCUUCUGAUUUAACAAUAAUUCAUACAGAGAGAUGAAAUUACCAACUUUCAUGCAAUAACAAAUUACUUAUUAAAAAUUUAUGAGUAAUAAAAAUAAAAUUGUUAAACAGGAAUACACUUAAACCUUGUGCAAAGCAAAAAAAUCCAUGAAUGUUAUAAAAUAUAAUAGAAUAAUGGAUAGAUAUGUAUGUAUUAUACAUAUAUAAACUUGUUAGGAGUAUUAAGUACUGGGGUUGGAUGUCACGCCAAUGUUUGAUUGACAUAUAUAAACUUAUACAUAAACAGUUCUAAACACAACUUGCAGUUAAUUCAAACUAUCUGCCAAAUUAUGAGAUGGCAGCAUAACUGACUACUCUAGAUGGAUUAUUUAGUUUCUAAUCAUUAAUUUAGUUGUACAAUAGCCCAAUAAUUUGUCAGAUUAUUUGGUUUGUAACUUGACUUUACCUCAUUAAAUUAUCUUGAAUGAAUACGAACUUUCAUUUUUUCAUAGAUAGAUAAACAUACAGCAGUAUUAACAAAAAAAGUAUCAAAAUGUAUGAUUGGCUCCUGAAAAGUUUUGUCAUCUCUCUGAUCUGAAACAUCUUGUGUAUCUAGUUGAAUGCAUGCAAUCAUGACUGAAGGAAAUUGAAGUAAACUUCAUGUGUACAAAUAUAUAAAGAGAAGAGCAUUUGUAUUGGAUUUAACAGUCAGUUUAAUGCUUCAUUAGCAUUAAUAAGGGUUGAUGAAACACUUCCAGCUGUUUGAACAGGUUUAAUGCAUCUGUGUAGUUUUGAUGAAGGUUGUUGAAACUAGCCGUUAAUUAAUUUCCUAUUCACACUCAGAUUCUUUAACUUUAUAAAGUCAACACACCUUAAUACUGAGAAAGCUCAUUUAU